GCCUAUGAAGAAGUCACAGGAAAAGAGUGUUUUACAUAGUGUAUUUUUCUUAAUGUCAUCUCACUGCUGUAAAUCAAGUAUAUAUGAAAGUUAACAACACAGGCCCUGUAAAACUAUUUGAAAUAGCAAAGAAAAUUACCUGUAUUGAGGGAUCUGCAGACAGCAAUUCAUUUUUCAGCAGUCUCCACUACAACUAGGGGCCCUGAUUGAUCAUUUCAGCCAUUUUAAACAUCAGACAAAACAACGUAGUCAGGAAAAUGCCCUACCACAUUAUAUACAUAGCAAGUAAAACAAUCAUUAAAAUAGCAAUAAGAAAAAAUAUUUGAGUUAGAACUAUUCUAGCACCAUUUGUUAAAAACUUCUGCUAUUAAAAAACUACGUCUGCAUCAGCUGCCAUAACCCUCCCUCACUCCACCUCAUCAGGCCAUUAGUCCAGUAUAAACAGGUACAUUAAUAUGAGAGGGAUAAUUUGUAACAUUCAUUAUAAAUGCGUUAAGAGUUUAGAUCACUGAGUUUGGGAAUUCCUUGUUUCCUCUGAUACUAUUUGGGAAAAGGUGGCAUAACACAUUCAGACUUGUACUGUACAGCAACAUUAACAGUGCCACAGAAGCCACUUGUGCCUGACUAGGAUCAUGCAAUUCUAAUCAGCAAACUGCUGCUGCCAAGAGAGCAACACAUGUGAUGAUCUCUCUUCUGGGGGGCUCUAUUGAAGCCGCUCUAAUUCUCAGUCCACUAAUGCAGUACUUGACUCACCUUUGUGUCACUGCCUGGUGUGGCACUUAGAGCCAAGAUUCUAAAUUGGUUUGUGUAUUUGCUCAGUUCUUUCACAACCUGACAAAAAAAACCCAAGAGUUACAUUAAUAUCCUUAAAGCUUUUACUCUCAAUGGUUUACAUAUGUGGAAAAAUUAAAAUUUAAAAGUUCAGAAAAGUAUUCUCCACAAAGUUAGUGUCUAGCCUAGAAACAGAAUCCAACAAUAAAUGAUUGUCAAUCCCCUCCCAUCCCACCCCCAAAAAAACCCUUAGAUUAUGUGAACUGGCUUCAAGAGCCAACUCCGCAUACUAGAAUAGGGGUAGUCAUUUUUUUUUGGUCAAGGUCUACAUUUAUUAGUCAAGACAGUGAACAUCCAGACUCAAGAGAAAAUGAACAAAAUGAUAAUCAUAAGUAAAAAAAAGAUUGCGGGGUCCGUUCAAAAGCAUCUGGCAGUCUGAAUUUGGUCCGCGGUUUGCCUGUUGACUACCCCUGUACUAGAAUUACUUGGGUGAGCACUGAAACGGAUUAUUACUGGAUUCAGCAAGUGGAUUUACAGCACACUAGCCAAAUGAGCUGCCAAAAAGGAAAUCUGGAAGGCCACUAUGAAAGCCAGCCUUUGCAACCCGAGUACAAAACUAGUCUGAAAUGAUGAAGAAAAUGGUAUGACAAAGGAGCUGGACAAGAGGGCAAGAGCUGCAUAAAACCAUAUGCACCCAUCUGCCUUUCAUUGCACAACUUGUUUUUAUGGCAACUGGGAAAGAGGGAGGCUGUUCCUUUGAAGCCAUUUAUAUUCCUGUUCCUUACCCAGAUCAUCUCCUAAAGUAAAAUACACACUUAACAUACAGGGCUACAAGCAGCCCUGGCAGCACAAGCAUCUAUUCUCCUAUAGUACUCUGAUAUACUGUGACCAACAAGCAGUCUUCAGCUGUGUGGGGAAAAGUAUGAGAACCACUGGAAGGGCACAGAAGAGUGCUACAAAUAUCAAAUAGAAAUUAAAAAAAAAAUACAAAAAAAAGUCAACACAUAGAAGAGGACAAGAGAAUUAAAUAUACACAUUAAAAAGUGAUGGCAGUCAUGUACAAGUACAGCAAGACAGGACAAGGAAAAAAAGCAUUUUAUAUGCCAAUUCCACAGCAAAGGUGACUAACAAAGGAAGCUGGGAACCACUACUCUGCAUUAAGUAAGCUCACAAAAUUCUCAAUGAAAUGUGAGUCUUGUUUCCCCACAACAUAGGUAAACAAUCACCGCAAUGACCCCAGUGGCAGCAGUUUAAAUGUUUAAUUCCUUGCCGAUACGUGCCAGGUAGACUGCUGUAUAUUGUGUUCUCAUAAACAUACCUAUGCCCUGUAGAAAAAGCCCCACCCUACAAAUGCAUUUUUAAUUUUUUACAAUCUAGGGUUUAAAAAUUAAAUUUCUGAAAAGAAAAUGCAGUUCAAUAUCCAACCAUACAAAAUGCUUAUCUCCCCAUCUACUUAAGAUUUCAUAAUACAGUUAGAACGCUCAGCAUGCUUGUUGCAUGCAAUUUAUCCAUUACUUGUAUCAAGGUAUUGUAAGCCAUAAAAUAACGUUUUGUCUUUGUUGAUUUCUUAUCAAAAUCCUCAGUUUAAAAAACUGCAGAGCAAUCUACAUUUGUGCUUAAAUUAUCUAUGAUUGCAAAAAGAAUUGCUCACAAGAUUAUGCAGCUCACAUUAGUCCACCAUUACCUGGCAGUAGGCGUAGUUUCCAAGAGCUUUGUGGGCUUCAUCAAUAACCAGACAUCUUAUUUCUGCAGCAGGACAAGUUCCACGAGAAAGAUCAUUUACCAUUACUUGAGGAGUAAGAAAAAAGACUCUCUUAUUGUGCCAGAUUUCCUUCCGAUUGAGAACCUGGGUACCCCCUGGGAAAAAAAAAAAAGAGCACUAUUACAGAUUUAAAUUAGUGGUUACCACUCAAGAGAGAAAUCUUGGAGUCACUGUGGAUAGUUGUCUGAAAACAUCCACUCAAUGUGCAGCAGUAGU